UUUUUUUUUUUUUUUUUUGAGACGGAGUCUCACUUUGUCACCCAGGCUGGAGUACAGUCCACCAUCUCUGCUCACUGCAGCCUCCACCUCCCAGGUGGAGAAUCAAGCGAUUCUCCGAUUCUCCUAUCUUAGCCUCCUGAGUAGCUGGGAUUACAGUUGCCUGUCACCACGCCCGGCUAAUUUUUGUUCUCCUCUACAUACAGCUCUCACAAACCAGCAGUGGGUAAGUGCUGCUGCCCUCCAGCCUCAAGAGAUGCGGAAUUCAAAGAAAAAGGAAAAGUCUUGCUCUGGUACUAUUGUUAUCUGGCCAUGAUUUUGUGGAAGAUACCUGGGAUGGUUUUUUGAUGUGUCAACUUUGCUAGGCAAUAGUCCCCCGCUACUCAAUCCAACACUAAUCUAGAUAUUUAUUGAAGGUAUUUUGUAUUAAAGCCCAUAACCAGUUGAUUUUAAGGAAGGGAAAGUAUCCUAGAUAAUCUAGGUGAAAUUGGUUCAAUAUCAGUUGAAAGGUCUUAAGAGUGGUAUUAAGGCUUCCCUGAUAAACAUGAAUUUCUACCCAUAGGCAGCAGCUUCAGCAGCCUCGGCCUCUGCUAUAGAGUCCCAGCCUGCCCUUCCUGGUAGCCUGCCUUGUGAAUUUUGGAAUUGCCCAGCCGUGAGCCAAUUCCUUGCAGGAUCUUACUCUGUUGCCCAGGCUAGAGUGCUGUGGCACAAUCACAGCUUACUGCCAUCUUGAACUCCUGAGCUCAAGCGAGUCUCCAGCCUCAGCCUCCUUAAUAGGUAGGACAAUAGGCAAGCACCACCACACCCAGCCAAUUUUUUUAUUUCUUUAAGGACUGGGGAGUCCCACUAUGCUGCCCAGGCUGGUCUCAAACUCCUGGCCUCAAGCAAGCCUCCUGUCUUGGCCUCCCAAAGCACUGGGAUUACAGGCAUGAGCCACUGCUGUACAUCUUUUAACACAGCCAGGUCUCACUGAAUUACAGGGAUAUGUUCUGAUAAAUGUAACCCUAAGCAACGUUGUUUUGUGCAAAGGUCAUAGAUCGUAUUUACACAAACCUAGAUGGGAUAGCCUACUCCACACCUGGGCUGUGUGGUAUAGCCAAUUGCUCCUAGGCGGCAAACCUGGACUGCAUGUUACUGUAGGCAAUUGUAACAAAAAUACAUUUGUGUAUCUAAAUGUAUCUAAGCAUAGA
rnacentral:lncRNA from 1 species